UACGUAGGGGGCAAGCGUUGUUCGGAAUUACUGGGCGUAAAGGGCGCGUAGGCGGCCUGCUAAGUCGGAUGUGAAAUCCCUCGGCUCAACCGAGGAACUGCAUCCGAUACUGGCGGGCUUGAAUCCGGGAGAGGGAUGUGGAAUUCCAGGUGUAGCGGUGAAAUGCGUAGAUAUCUGGAGGAACACCGGUGGCGAAGGCGGCAUCCUGGACCGGUAUUGACGCUGAGGCGCGAAAGCUAGGGGAGCAAACAGG
rnacentral:rRNA from 1 species